rnacentral:rRNA from 1 species
ACAUGCAAGUCGAGGGGUAACGGCAGUAGCUUGCUACUAGACGACGACCGGCGCACGGGUGAGUAACGCGUAUGUAAUCUGCCUUGUACAGAGGGAUAGCCCAGAGAAAUUUGGAUUAAUACCUCAUAGUAUUACUGAAUCGCAUGAUUUGGUAAUUAAAGCUCCGGCGGUACAAGAUGAACAUGCGUGACAUUAGCUACUUGGUAAGGUAACGGCUUACCAAGGCCACGAUGUCUAGGGGUUCUGAGAGGAUGAUCCCCCACACUGGUACUGAGACACGGACCAGACUCCUACGGGAGGCAGCAGUGAGGAAUAUUGGUCAAUGGACGCAAGUCUGAACCAGCCAUCCCGCGUGAAGGAUGACUGCCC